UUUUUUUUGGUGACAUCUAAU
rnacentral:piRNA from 1 species